rnacentral:rRNA from 1 species
UGGGAUGACGUCAAAUCAUCAUGCCCCUUAUGACCUGGGCUACACACGUGCUACAAUGGUUGGUACAACGAGUUGCGAGUCGGUGACGGCGAGCUAAUCUCUUAAAGCCAAUCUCAGUUCGGAUUGUAGGCUGCAACUCGCCUACAUGAAGUCGGAAUCGCUAGUAAUCGCGGAUCAGCACGCCGCGGUGAAUACGUUCCCGGGCCUU